GACAGAGGGUGCAAACGUUGCUCGGAAUUACUGGGCGUAAAGCGCGUGUAGGCUGACCGGAAAGUCGGGCGUGAAAUCCCUGGGCUCAACCCAGGAACUGCACUCGAAACUCCCGGUCUUGAGUGGUGGAGAGGGAAGUGGAAUUCCUGGUGUAGAGGUGAAAUUCGUAGAUAUCAGGAGGAACACCAGUGGCGAAGGCGGCUUCCUGGACACCAACUGACGCUGAGACGCGAAAGCGUGGGGAGCAAGCAGG
rnacentral:rRNA from 1 species